rnacentral:rRNA from 1 species
GGGGAUACCCCCGGGAAACUGGGGAUAAUACCCUAUAGGUUACCAAUGCUGGAAUGCUUGGUAACCGAAAGUUCCGGCGCCUUAGGAUGGAUCUGCGGCCGAUUAGGUUGUUGUCGGGGUAACGGCCCAACAAGCCAGUAAUCGGUACGGGUUGUGGGAGCAAGAGCCCGGAGUUGGAUUCUGAGACACGAAUCCAGGCCCUACGGGGCGCAGCAGGCGCGAAAACUUUACAAUGCGGGCAACCGUGAUAAGGGAACCUCGAGUGCCUGUAUAUGCAGGCUGUCUGGGUGUCUAAAACACACCCAAAGAAAGGGCCGGGCAAGACCGGUGCCAGCCGCCGCGGUAAUACCGGCGGCUCGAGUGGUGGCCACUUUUAUUGGGCUUAAAGCGUUCGUAGCUGGGUUAUUAAGUCCCUUGGGAAAUCCGACAGCUUAGCUGUCGGGCGUCUAAGAGAUACUGGUAAUCUUGGAACCGGGAGAGGUGAGGGGUACUUCGGGGGUAGGAGUGAAAUCCUGUAAUCCUCGAGGGACCACCUGUGGCGAAGGCGCCUCACCAGAACGGCUUCGACAGUGAGGGACGAAAGCUGGGGGAGCAAACCGGAUUAGAUACCCGGGUAGUCCCAGCCGUAAACGAUGUGCGUUAGGUGUAUCGGUGACCACGAGUCACCGAGGUGCCGAAGGGAAACCGUGAAACGUACCGCCUGGGAAGUAC